AGUAAAUAGAUACCCCGGUAGUCCACGCCGUAAACGAUGAGUACUAGGUGUAGGAGGUAUCGACUCCUUCUGUGCCGCAGUUAAACACAAUAAGUACUCCGCCUGGGAAGUACGGUCGCAAGAUUAAAACUCAAAGGAAUUGACGGGGGCCCGCACAAGCAGCGGAGCAUGUGGUUUAAAUUCGAAGCAACGCGAAGAACCUUACCUAGACUUGACAUCCCCUGAAUAGUGUAGAGAUACAUGAAGCCCUUCGGGGCAGGAAGACAGGUGGUGCAUGGUUGUCGUCAGCUCGUGUCGUGAGAUGUUGGGUUAAGUCCCGCAACGAGCGCAACCCUUAUUACUAGUUGCUACCAUUAAGUUGAGCACUCUAGUGAGACUG
rnacentral:rRNA from 1 species